UACAGAGGGUGCGAGCGUUAAUCGGAAUUACUGGGCGUAAAGCGUGCGUAGACGGUUCUGUAAGUCGGAUGUGAAAUCCCCCGGGCUCAACCUGGGAAUUGCAUUCGAGACUGCAAAGCUUGGGUGCGGAAGAGGGAAGCGGAAUUCCCGGUGUAGAGGUGAAAUUCGUAGAUAUCGGGAGGAACACCAGUGGCGAAGGCGGCGACCUGGGCCAAUAUUGACGCUGAGGUGCGAAAGCG
rnacentral:rRNA from 1 species